GCUGGUCUGAAAUUUUGUUUUGUUCAAAUUUUCUUCCUUACCUUUUAACUUACCAACCUUACCUGUUAGAAUAAAAUAUCACUGUUUCUUCAUUUUGCCUUCCCGAUAUUGCAUAUGCAUGUAGCUGACAUUGGUAUAGCCAUCAUUUUGUUAUAGAUUUUCACCUUACUCAAUCGAUACAAUGUUUUCAUCUCUCUAACUUCAUAUUCCCAACCUUCUUCAUCUUUGUCUCGCAACUUCUUUUCCUCAUAAUAUGUUAGAUGUUUUUAUCAUCUUCAUAUGUUCAUGUCAUUUCUUCUUCAUUUACUUCAUCUUAUUUUUUCAUUUUGUUUUUGCUUAUUUCAUUGUAGUUCUUGCAAAAUGGCAAGUCCUUUUGAGACCAUUAAAGACAUUGACGAUCGUAAAUAAUUAUGGAAGGUUCUUCUCAAGGUUCAGCAUAAAUGGAAUGUUGUAUCUAACACAAAGAAACAUUUUGAGAUGAUUUUCAUUAAGGAAGAGGUCAUAACUUGGGCUACAAGAAUCGGAUUGAUGUGUUAUAAUAAGUGUUAGAAAGUUGAGAGGAUAAGUUAAGUGUUUCAUGUUAAAGUCAGAAGCAGAUUCAGAGUGUAGAAGACUCGAAUAAAUCGUUUUAGUUUCAAAAUUUAGAAACUAAUUAGUUUUGGGCCGGUUUUUAUGUUUUUCAACCCGGUUGGGAUUAGAACCCUAAUUCCUUGUUUCCUUUAACCUAAGUCAGCGGUGGUACUGUUCACUAUUCCUAUUCACUAUUCACGAAAAUUAGUUUUGAUUUGUUCGAUUCAUGUAGAACUAAUCCCUAAGGAAAAUUCUACUGAUUUACGGGUUCCACCGCUUUGUGGUUAUUUUAAUUCCAAUUCAAUUUCGAUUUCUAUUCAA